rnacentral:rRNA from 1 species
AUUGAACGCUGGCGGCAUGCCUUACACAUGCAAGUCGAACGGCAGCACGGGUGCUUGCCCCUGGUGGCGAGUGGCGAACGGGUGAGUAAUACAUCGGAACAUGUCCUGUAGUGGGGGAUAGCCCGGCGAAAGCCGGAUUAAUACCGCCUACGAUCUACGGAUGACAGCGGGGGACCUUCGGGCCUCGCGCUAUCGGGUUGGCCGAUGGCUGAUUAGCUAGUUGGUGGGGUAAAGGCCUACCAAGGCGACGAUCAGUAGCUGGUCUGAGAGGACGACCAGCCACACUGGAACUGAGACACGGCCCAGACUCCUACGGGAGGCAGCAGUGGGGAAUUUUGGACAAUGGGCGAAAGCCUGAUCCAGCAAUGCCGCGUGUGUGAAGAAGGCCUUCGGGUUGUAAAGCACUUUUGUCCGGAAAGAAAUACUUGGCCCUAAUACGGUCGGGGGAUGACGGUACCGGAAGAAUAAGCACCGGCUAACUACGUG